rnacentral:tRNA from 1 species
GCGACCAGGGGGCCCGCGGCCAGGCCGCCGAGGUUGGCGGCUGUGGCCACGAUGCCGGGCAGCGCCGAAUCCGUCCGUUCCGGACGGGCCUCGUGGUG